AAUCUGCCCAGUAAUCCGGGAUAACAUCUCGAAAGAGAUGCUAAUACCUGAUAAGCCCACGAUCUCUUCGGAGAACGAGGGAAAAGGUGGGGACCUUCGGGCCUGCCGUUACUGGAUGAGUCCGCGGCCCAUUAGCUAGUUGGUAGGGUAAUGGCCUACCAAGGCUACGAUGGGUAGCUGGUCUGAGAGGAUGAUCAGCCACACUGGAACUGAGACACGGUCCAG
rnacentral:rRNA from 1 species